UACGUAGGGUGCAGGCGUUAAUCGGAAUUACUGGGCGUAAAGCGUGCGCAGGCGGUUUCUUAAGUCAGAUGUGAAAGCCCCGGGCUUAACCUGGGAACUGCGUUUGAAACUGGGAGACUUGAGUGUGGCAGAGGGGGGUGGAAUUCCACGUGUAGCAGUGAAAUGCGUAGAUAUGUGGAGGAACACCGAUGGCGAAGGCGGCCCCCUGGGUUAACACUGACGCUCAUGCACGAAAGCGUGGGGAGCAAACAGG
rnacentral:rRNA from 1 species